GUCUUCUCAUAAAAAACCAUCAACCGUUCGGAGGCGGGGGCGGGUUGCGGAAUUAGAAGUCACUCGGUGGCCACUUACUAGGGAGAUUUGGACUUCGAAUAUGGAAGCCUUAAGCAUAAAAGGGGAUACAAUUAAAAAAAAAAAUUAAAAAAAUGCAGGAGACACAGGACACUGAAUAUACAUGGGUUAGCCGCUUAAGCGUGUGAGGAUUGGCAAAACCAACUCAAAACCGAAUAUGGAGAUAAUGUCCGAAUGUGAAUAAAAAAUUGAUUUAACUUAACUUUUAACCAUUGAUAACUAUUGAUACAUCAGCUGUUGCCUGCGUCAAGCACUUACCCUAUAAUCCAACGGACACGAGGGGCGAUGUCCGCAUGACAAAUUUAGUGAAUUACAUAAAAGGCGAGUACUUCAAAUGAAAUGUGCUCUUAGAACAAUUGACAUCUCAACAUAGGCGGCGAAAUGGUUUAAUUUGGAGCGCACAAAUGUUUUAAUGUGAAUCAGUCCGCUUAGAAGGCUGUAACCAAUACAAGAAUCAAUGUUGCAAUUGUUUUUUAUCAAAUUCCUUUUUUAUUAUAAAGUGAAAUAUUAUAUGCUAAAAACUACAUCACUAAAGUCUUCGGGAAUUUUAGCAAACUUCGAUUCGACCGCUUUUUGUCACAUAUUGGGCGUUACCUCAGCCUUGCAGAAUAAAUUCAAUAAAUUUCGGGACUUCUUACAGAGCUCUUCGAUAUAUGCUUUAUAUAUAAUAUUAUGUGUAAUUCAAAUGCUUAAACGGAUUUUUCUCAAAACGUGGACCUGUACCAGGAGAAAACACAUUACGAAAAUGUCUUCAGUUUCCCUAUUUUUAGACGAGUGGUUAACAUUGCGUACUGACA